rnacentral:rRNA from 1 species
CAGCAGCCGCGGGAAUACGUAGGUGGCGAGCGUUGUCCGGAAUUAUUGGGCGUAAAGGGAGCGCAGGCGGACAUAUAAGUCCAUCUUAAAAGUGCGGGGCUCAACCCCGUGAGGGGAUGGAAACUACAUGUCUUGAGUACAGGAGAGGAAAGCGGAAUUCCCAGUGUAGCGGUGAAAUGCGUAGAUAUUGGGAGGAACACCAGUGGCGAAGGCGGCUUUCUGGACUGCAACUGACGCUGAGGCUCGAAAGCCAGGGGAGCGAACGGGAUUAGAUACCCCAGUAGUCCCUGUCUCUUAUACA